GACACACUUUUGACAGGACUUCAACUUUCACGACUUUAACAAUGAUCAGAUCUGUUUAUUUAGUUAUUUUACACAUACUAUUUUGUUUCUUGGCUGGUUCUGAAGGUCAAACACUGAGUCUGAACCAGUGGUUAAAAGGCCUGGAGACUCCCACAGACUGACCUGUACAUACUCAGGAUUUGGUGGCGAUAUUGUUGCAGCUUGGGUCAGACAGGCUGCUGGAAAAGGACUGGAAUGGAUCGCUUUGAUCUACAGUGGUGGUAGUGUAAUGUAGACACUAAAGCUGUUACGCCAGAAUGUCUUCCUAAGGAGGAUGGUUCUUUAGAUACAAGGGAGCAAGUGAGUCAGAAACUCAGGCCAGGGAGCACAAAU